CUAAAAUAACCCUUGUGAAAGUAUCCGAAACUAUCCGAAAUAUGGCAGCAAAGGGUAAUACUCUCAUACAAAUUCUGAUUGUUUAUAUUUUUUUCAUUAUUUUCUAGGAUCCUCAAAACAAUCGGAUUUUUCAAUGGCAAAAUGUGACUUCUUUCCGAAAUAUUACCCAACUCUCGUUCCAACUGAUUUCAGAACCAAUGUUUGGAGAUUACUGGAUUGUUGUGAAAAGAAACUCAAGGAAGACAGUGACACACCAAUUUGCUGUUAAAAGAUAUGUGCUGCCCAAGUUUGAAGUUACGGUCAAUGCACCACAAACAGUAACUAUUUCAGAUGAUGAAUUCCAAGUGGAUGUAUGUGCUAAUUGGAAAAUGGUUGUGUUUCUCAAAUUGUAAAUAGAAAAGUCUUCCAACUCUACCG
rnacentral:lncRNA from 1 species